rnacentral:rRNA from 1 species
UACGGGGGGAGCAAGCGUUGUUCGGAUUUACUGGGCGUAAAGGGCGCGUAGGCGGUCAGCACAAGUCAGUUGUGAAAUCUCCGGGCUUAACUCGGAAAGGUCAACUGAUACUGUGCGGCUAGAGUGCAGAAGGGGCAACUGGAAUUCUUGGUGUAGCGGUGAAAUGCGUAGAUAUCAGGAAGAACACCCGUGGCGAAGGCGGCUCUCUGGGACGGUACUGACGCUGAGACGCGAAAGCGUGGGGAGCGAACAGG